rnacentral:rRNA from 1 species
CUACCCGGGUAUCUAAUCCUGUUCGAUACCCGCACCUUCGAGCUUAAGCGUCAGUAACACUCCCGUAAGCUGCCUUCGCAAUCGGAGUUCUUCAUGAUAUCUAAGCAUUUCACCGCUACACCAUGAAUUCCGCCUACGUUGUGUGUACUCAAGUCAGCCAGUUCGCGCUGCAAGUCAGAUGUUGAGCAUCUACAUUUCACAACACGCUUAACCAACCGCCUACACUCCCUUUAAACCCAAUAAAUCCGGAUAACGCCUGGACCUUCCGUAUUACCGCGGCUGCUGGCAC